rnacentral:rRNA from 1 species
UACGGAGGGGGCUAGCGUUGUUCGGAAUUACUGGGCGUAAAGCGCACGUAGGCGGCUUUGUAAGUUAGAGGUGAAAGCCCAGGGCUUAACCCUGGAAUUGCCUUUAAGACUGCAUCGCUAGAAUCGUGGAGAGGUAAGUGGAAUUCCGAGUGUAGAGGUGAAAUUCGUAGAUAUUCGGAAGAACACCAGUGGCGAAGGCGACUUACUGGACACGUAUUGACGCUAAGGUGCGAAAGCGUGGGGAGCAAACAGG